GCUCAAGCAAUUCUCCUGCCUUGGCCUCCCAAAGUGCUGGGAUUACAGGCAUGAGCCACUGGGCCUGGACAACAUCUUGGGUUUUUUCUCACCUCUAGGGCUUCACACACGGCAUUCUUUGGUCAUAAACACUCUCCACCACCAUGUCAUUUCAUUUGGCAAACUCCUACAUCUUCAUAUGCUCUGAGCUCCAGCUUUCAUGUAGGAAGCUUGCCACGACCGCCAAGGAUGGCUCGGAGUCCUCGUGCUUCUAUUGUGCCCUGCCAACCCUAUUAUCACACAUUUCACACUGAAUUGGAAAUGCCAGUUCCCUUGUCUGGUACCUCACUAGAUUCUGAGAGGACAAGAAUCAUGGCAAUUUUAUUCAUCAUUAUAUCCUCAGCCCCGAGCGCCAUUGCUGGCAUGUGAGAUGUCCAAAGGCUUCGUGCACUUCACUAAGAAGACAAGAGCAAAACUUUUGGAAAGAAUAACCUAGGGUUGCAACUCUGCCUCUGUAACUAGAUUCUCUCUUCAAUCACUCUACAUGGGCUUCAGUCCCCUCCUCUUCACAGAAUCUGUGUGACUGUCAAGUUUACAGAUGACUUCCAGGUUGGCAAACUCAAUGAUUACUUCUCAAGUCUCACCUUUCUCAACCUCUCAGUGGUAUCUGACCAGGUUGAACACACUGUUCCUAAAACCCUUGGAUUUGGCAAA
rnacentral:lncRNA from 10 species